rnacentral:rRNA from 1 species
AGAACGAACGCUGGCGGCAGGCUUAACACAUGCAAGUCGAACGGCUGUAGCAAUACAGCAGUGGCAGACGGGUGAGUAACACGUGGGAACCUUCCUAAGGGUACGGAACAACUCAGGGAAACUUGAGCUAAUACCGUAUACGUCCGUAAGGAGAAAGAUUUAUCGCCCUUAGACGGGCCCGCGUCGGAUUAGGUAGUUGGUGGGGUAACGGCCUACCAAGCCUACGAUCCGUAGCUGAUCUGAGAGGAUGAUCAGCCACACUGGGACUGAGACACGGCCCAGACUCCUACGGGAGGCAGCAGUGGGGAAUCUUGGACAAUGGGCGCAAGCCUGAUCCAGCCAUGCCGCGUGAGUGAAGAAGGCCUUAGGGUUGUAAAGCUCUUUUACCAGGGACGAUAAUGACGGUACCUGGAGAAUAAGCCCGGCAAACUUCGUGCCAGCAGCCGC